rnacentral:rRNA from 1 species
GACGAACGCUGGCGGCGUGCUUAACACAUGCAAGUCGAACGGAAAUGCCCUGCUUUUGUGGGGUGCUCGAGUGGCGAACUGGUUAGUAACACGUGAGUAACCUGCCCUUUACUUUGGGAUAACUUCAGGAAACUGGGGCUAAUACCGGUUAUGAGCUCCUGCUGCAUGGUGUGGGUUGGAAAGUUUCGGCGGUUGGGGAUUGACUCGCGGCUUAUCAGCUUGUUGGUGGGGUAGUGGCUUACCAAGGCUUUGACGGGUAGCCGGCCUGAGAGGGUGACCGGCCACAUUGGGACUGAGAAACGGCCAAGAGUGCUACGGGAGGCAGCAGUGGGGAAUAGUGCAAAAUGGGCGGAAGCAUGAUGCAGCAACGCCGCGUGCGGGAUGACGGCCGUCGGGUUGUAAACCGCUUGCGCCUGGGAAGAAGAGUGAGUGACGGUAAUGGGUAAAGAAGCACCGGCUAACUACGUG